rnacentral:rRNA from 1 species
CCCUUAGAUGUUCUGGGCCGCACGCGCGCUACACUGUUCGACGCAGCGAGUCUUAACCUUGACCGAAAGGUUUGGGUAAUCUUCAGCAAAGUCGAACGUGAUGGGGAUCGAUCAUUGCAAUUAUUGAUCGUGAACGAGGAAUUCCUAGUAAGUGCAAGUCAUCAGCUUGCGCUGAUUACGUCCCUGCCCUUUGUACACACCGCCCGUCGCUCCUACCGAUUGGGUGUGCUGGUGAAAUGUUCGGAUCGGCCGUUUGUCGCGGUUUCCGCGUCAUGUGGCUGAGAAGUUCAUUAAACCCUCCCACCUAGAGGAAGGAGAAGUCGUAACA